rnacentral:rRNA from 1 species
CCUACGGGAGGCUGCAGUGGGGGAUAUUGCACAAUGGGGGAAACCCUGAUGCAGCGACGCCGCGUGUGGGAAGACGGUCCUCUGGAUUGUAAACCACUGUCCCCAGGGACGAAGAUGACGGUACCGGGGGAGGAAGCGCCGGCUAACUACGUGCCAGCAGCCGCGGUAAUACGGAGGGAGCGAGCGUUGUCCGGAAUUACUGGGUGUAAAGGGAGCGUAGGCGGGGAUGCAAGUUGGGUGUCAAAACUACCGGCUCAACUGGUAGUCGCACUCAAAACUGCCGCUCUUGAGUGAAGUAGAGGCAGGCGCAAUUCCUAGUGUAGCGGUGAAAUGCGUCGAUAUUAGGAGGAACACCAGUGGCGACGGCGGCCUGCUGGGCUUUUACUGACGCUGAGGCUCGAACGUGUGGGGAGCAAACAGGAUUAGAUACCCCGGUAGUC